rnacentral:rRNA from 1 species
CCUACGGGAGGCAGCAGUGAGGAAUAUUGGUCAAUGGUCGCGAGCCUGAACCAGCCAAGCCGCGUGAAGGAUGAAGGCCCUGCGUAUCGUAAACCUCUUUUGUCAGGGAACAAAGUGGGGCACGUGUCCCUGGAUGUGUGUACCUUAAGAAUAAGCAUCGGCUAACUCCGUGCCAGCAGCCGCGGGAAUACGGAGGAUCCGAGCGUUAUCCGGAUUUAUUGGGUUUAAAGGGUGGGUAGACGGGUUGUUAAUGCAGCUGGCAAAGGCUGGGGCUCAACCCUAACAUUGCAAUUGAUACUGGCAGCCUCGAGUAGAGUAGAAGUAGGCGGAAUGCGUGGUGUAGCGGUGAAAUGCAUAGAUAUCACGCAGAACUCCGAUUGCGAAGGCAGCAUAC